rnacentral:rRNA from 1 species
UACCUGCAGCUCGAGUGGUAACCGCUAUUAUUGGGCCUAAAGCGUCCGUAGCCGGUCUGGUAAAUAUCUGGGUAAAUCGUGAGGCUUAACUUCACGAAUUUCGGAUAGACUGCCAGACUUGGGAUCGGGGGAGGUCAGAGGUACUCCAGGGGUAGCGGUGAAAUGUUGUAAUCCUUGGAGGACCACCGGUAGCGAAGGCGUCUGACUAGAACGAGCCCGACGGUGAGGGACGAAGCCCUGGGGCGCAAACCGGAUUAGAUACCCGGGUAGUCCAGGGUGUAAGCGAUGUGGGCUUUGUAUUGGAGGUCCCACGUGGGCGUCCAGUGCAGAAGAGAAGUUGUUAAGCCCACCGCCUGGGAAGUACGGUCGCAAGGCUGAAACUUAAAGGAAUUGGCGGGGGAGCACAGCAACGGGAGGAGCGUGCGGUUU